GAUGAACGCUGGCGGCGUGCCUAACACAUGCAAGUCGAGCGAUCUUCUUCGGAAGAGAGCGUCGGACGGGUGAGUAACGCGUGGGUAACCUGCCUCAUACACAUGGACAACAUACCGAAAGGUAUGCUAAUACAAGGUAAUAUAAGAGAUUCGCAUGGAUUUCUUAUCAAAGCUCCGGCGGUACGAGAUGGACCCGCGUCUGAUUAGCUAGUUGGUAAGGUAACGGCUUACCAAGGCGACGAUCAGUAGCCGACCUGAGAGGGUGAUCGGCCACAUUGGAACUGAGACACGGUCCAAACUCCUACGGGAGGCAGCAGUGGGGAAUAUUGCACAAUGGGCGAAAGCCUGAUGCAGCAACGCCGCGUGAGCGAUGAAGGCCUUCGGGUCGUAAAGCUCUGUCCUCAAGGAAGAUAAUGACGGUACUUGAGGAGGAAGCCCCGGCUAACUACGUGCCAGCCGCCGCAGUAA
rnacentral:rRNA from 1 species